rnacentral:tRNA from 1 species
GAAUUUUUAAAUAACUGUUAAAAUAUUGAAUUUCUAGAAAGUUUUUUAAAGACUUUUAAACUAAAAUAUUUUAAAAAAAAUCUAUAAUAAUGUUUUAAUUAUAAUUUUUAUUAUUAAAAUAAAUAUAUUAUUUACAAUUUUUAAAAAAUAAUUUUUAAAGACUUAAUUUCUAAAUAAAUAUUUUAAAUGUUUAAUAUUUA